GACGAACGCUGGCGGCGUGCUUAACACAUGCAAGUCGAACGGAAAGGCCCUGCUUUUGUGGGGUGCUCGAGUGGCGAACGGGUGAGUAACACGUGAGUAACCUGCUCUUGACUUUGGGAUAACUUCAGGAAACUGGGGCUAAUACCGGAUAGGAGCUCCUGCUGCAUGGUGGGGGUUGGAAAGUUUCGGCGGUUGGGGAUGGACUCGCGGCUUAUCAGCUUGUUGGUGGGGUAGUGGCUUACCAAGGCUUUGACGGGUAGCCGGCCUGAGAGGGUGACCGGCCACAUUGGGACUGAGAUACGGCCCAGACUCCUACGGGAGGCAGCAGUGGGGAAUAUUGCACAAUGGGCGGAAGCCUGAUGCAGCGACGCCGCGUGCGGGAUGACGGCCUUCGGGUUGUAAACCGCUUUCGCCUGUGACGAAGCGUGAGUGACGGUAAUGGGUAAAGAAGCACCGGCUAACUACGUG
rnacentral:rRNA from 1 species